rnacentral:lncRNA from 1 species
GGGAGGAAGGAAGGAAGGAAGAACUUUGAACUUUCUUUUAGAAACUCAGUUUCUAAGGCUUGAGGGUUCACAGGGAAUUUUUAGGAGUACAAUUAUAGGAGGACAAUUAUUAGGAGUAAAAUAUAGAAUACCCAUUUACAAGUUCCACCAAAAGAAAAGCUUGCACAAUUUUUGAUAACAAUAAGUGGCCAAGUGCAGUAGCUCAUGCCUGCAAACCCAGCGCUUUGAGAGGCUAAGGCAGGAAGAUGGCCUGAGGCCAGGAGUUUGAAAACAGCCUAGGCAACAUAGCGAGAUCCCUAUUUUAAGAGAAAAGAAAGGAAAAGAAAAGAAAGGAAAAGAAAAGAAAAGAAAAGAAAAGAAAAGAAAAGAACAGGACAGGAGAGGAGGGGAGGGGAGGGAAGGGAAGGGAAGGGGAGAGAAAGGGAAGGGAAGAUAAGAAAAGAAAAGGAAAGAAAACAAAAGGAAAGAUAAGAAAAGAAAAGAAAAAGCUAGUCAUGGUGGCACAAGCCUAUAGUCCUAGCUACUUAGAAGGCUAAAGCUGGAGGAUUGCUUGAGCACAGGAGUUCCAGGUCACAGUAAGCCAGUAUACUCUAGCCUAGAUGACAGUGUGAGAUCCUGUCUAAAAAAAAAAAAAAAAAAAAAAGUAAGUGUGAUAAUUAUUAUGUGACUGUGAUAAAGAAGAAAAAAAUGAUUAUUGAGUGGUGGUGUUAAUUUUUAGUAAAUAAUGGUUAGCUCCAUUCUUCAUCACAAUGACUAAAAAGAAAAAUGAAGCAAUGGUUGAAAACAUCAAGCUUUUCCAAGCCAUUUUCCCUUCUUCAAUAGCUAAAAGGGUCACUUUCAUCGGAAGAAUUUUGGUCAAUAUAUUAGAAGCAAUUUGCGGGGAUGGCACAUGAAAUGUAAGGCCACAGAGAAUUGCUAAAGAAAGUUUUGGAACCAUGCUGACUUGAUUUUACUCAGACUUCUUCAUUUCAAGCAAAGGAAGCAGAUUCUGGCUCUUUCACCAGAGAAGAGGCUUAGUAAGCAGAUAUCAGGAGCUCACAGGUUUGUUGUGAAAAGAACAAGAUUCCAGGACAAAGCUCAAGACCUAGCUUCCAGGAGCAUGCUUUGAAUGGCCGAACUGGCCUCCCAGGAAAACUUUUCAUCAUAAAUGUCACUGAGCAGUAGAUUCUACAGCUUGCCUUACAGAAGCCAAAUAUUUGACUUUGCUACAAACUCAACUACUGCCUGAGUCUUGCUGCUUAUGAUUGUCUCACAACCACCACUGGCUGGUAAAGCCAAAUGGCUCUGGCACCAUUCUUGCUGCAAGGUGGACUUUGAGUGCUUGUCCAUCCUCAUGUGGCUCCCUUCCGAACCAAAAUCUCACUCCAGCUCAUAUGACUGGUGGGGCCUUUGAAAUAUUAGCAAUAUUUUCUACGUGGAUAAUAGGAUGGAUACUUACAGCUGGUAAAUAAUAAGACAGGUUUCAAAAUACCUGAGAGAGGUGAAGAAGUGACCAGGAAGUUAGUAGAAUAUAGUGGUUUUAAAAAAUAUAGAAAGGUGAGCUGGUUAUAUGUCAUUUACUUCAAAGGAAAGAUUUAAAAAUGGUGGACAAAUGCCAAAAGCAUCCUAUCUUUGUAAUAUGUUGGAUAGGAGCCAAGAAGUAAUCAACAUUUUGAGAUGCAGUACAAGAGAGGAAAUGGCCUUAAAGAAAGAUCGGAGUUCAGUGGAGCCCAAAAAGUGAAGGGAGGUGCAGAAAGAAACAAGUUAUUUAAAUAAUUUGUGGGCCAUAGGAGAGUUUGUUUUUGAUGGGGCAGAGAUUGUUAAAAAAUAAUUGAAUGAUAUUAAAUAGAAAUAUAUAUGCAAAAAUGUCCUCAUCAUUUUUUUCUAUGGUUGUCCACUGAAAUAUUCAAAUAUUUUUAAAUGUAUGAAGCUGACAUUUGAGACAGUGUCAUGCAUGGGAUGAUGCCUAAAGUUGCUCUCCAAAGCAAAGAGACAAAUAAUGGAAUUUUCUUUUCAUUGUUGUUGAAGAGUAUGUCUCAAAAUUGUAGCAUUCAGUAGUUUGUUUCUUUAUAAAAAUUACAACAUUUUCAUUUUAAUGAAUUUACUAAAACUUGAUUAAAAAAAGAACAAAAUUCAACACAAUAUAAAUUUUUACAAUAGAUGUCUUUUAUCGCUAAAAGACUAUUUUAACUUCAGCAAAAAAGAAAUUGUAGAAGAUUUUAGGGAAAAGCCAAUAUGACCUUAGAGGAAUUUGCACUCUUUGGGCUCCACACAUGUGCUGCAGUUAUCAGAGUUCCCUGACUCCAAGUGUUUAUUCAAAUCUGUCAGCUAAAUCAUAGAUCAAAAUGCAAAAUGUAACACUCAGGAACAUUACAUGGAUUUGUGACACUCCCUGGAGGACUUUGGGUCCAUAAAGCAAUGAAUGGAUUAUAAGAAGACAUAAAUAUGGUAUUUUCAUCUAUGACAGGUGCAAUCUUACUCCAAUGUUAUUUAUAUUAUAUAAAAGAAAACUGAACCUAUUUUCCUCAGUCCCUUAGGGAUGAAUAAGUGAAUAGCUCACCAUUAAUUUCCAGUUUCUAUGAAUUCACCUUUGAAAAUGUCAUGUUUUCGAGUUUUUUCAACUGGCCAAUGUUUAUUUAUUUUUACAUGUGUUUACUUAUUUUAUAUUUAUUUAACAAUGAAACCAAAAGGAAAAUGGGAGAUGAAAUUGUGAUAACACAAUAAUAUUUUUUUCUUUUUUUGCCAUGAUCCUAAAUCAUGCAAAAUUUACUCAACUUUGAAUUUUAAUGACCAAUUGGGCACCCAGACUAGCUUCCCAUAAAUCCUGCUCUCAGUCUUUUAACAUCUUUUGCAUCCUCAUCCUUACUUCCUGUUAGUUAGGUGGGUUAUAUGGCGUUCUGGAAAAAGCAUGGGUCUUGAAUUUAGAGGAGGAGUACGCUAGUAUUUACUCCACCUAGCUUGUAUCUUUAUAAACGUGCAGAACUAAAAUUUAACCAUGAGAUUCCUUAAGCUUCUCCAGCUUCAGAAUGUUAUAUUUUGGUCCAGUCAAAAUCUAUGAUUUUUUAAAAUGGUUUUAGCCUCACAAUUUUGAAAAAGAAUCAUGAAGUCAUCAGUAAAAAAGCAGGAGUUUAGCCACAAUAUAAAAUGCCAUUUUCACACUGUAUUAAACUUGGGCCAGUGAAGAAACUGCUGAGUUAGUUUUCUGUCUUGAAGGCUUAGCUGUUGUUUUCUUGUCCAAAAUAGAAAGAAGAUGGAUACUUUAAUUACUUAGGUUAACUACCGCUUAGCUAGAACUUUUGCUUUAUAGGUAACCAAGAGAUUUAUAAGAAUACAUCUUUCAAUAUUAUGGUAAUGAAUGGCAAAAUACUAAUUAGGUAGGAUUAGAAAACAAUUUAAUAUUCUUAUUGCAAAAAUCGGAACCAAUCAGAAUCAUGAUGUUUUACUAUGUGAAAUUGUUUGGCUUCCAAUAAUUAUCCAGUGACAGGUGGCAGCCAUAUUGUGAAUCUCUUAAGCAUUGGUAAAAAAAAAAAAUUAAAAGGUACUUAAAUAAUAAUUAAAAUACUAAAAUAUAACUAUUUAUUUAAUUUUAUCUGCCCUGCUCCCACCCCAGCUCAUUUAACUUAAAAACUCUGUUCUGAAGAAAACUACAAGGAUUUGUCCACAAGGGAUAAAAUAAUCCUCAAUUAAAUUCAAUUCAGCAAAUAGUUAUUGAAUCUCUUUUCAUGUUAUUGAACUUAUGUUCUUUAAUUUCUCCUAUCUUAUUGAAAAAGAAAAUGAUAAUACAUACAAAUAGAAAAUAUUUUAAUUUUAGGUUGUUGCAAAAGUGUUUGCGGUUUUUGCAAUUUCUUUUCAUCAAACCUAAUAAAUUUGGUAAAACAAAUUUUACUUUAUUUUUUAAAAUUGUGUCAAUUUUCAAAAAUAAAUUUCCUGUGAUGUUUUCUGAUUUGUGAUUUUAACCAAUGAAAUGGUCAGUGUGAAAUAUUUUUGUUGUUGUCAUCACUUCAAAGUAAUGAAAACACUUUAGAUUGUUCAACUGUAUAGAAGGUUUGCCUUCACACAAUUUUAUAAAUUGUUGAUUGUGUGUCUCUCUAAGUUUUCUCUAAUACAUGCAAAAUAAUGUUGUAAGUAAAAUGAAUGGCUGAC